ensembl:lncRNA
AGACCUAUGACACUUGCCAAUUUCUGUUUCCGUUGGGUAUGCUUUCUAGAGAAGUUAAUUAGAGGAAGUUUACUUUCACAGAGGAGCCCGAAGGUACCCAGAGUUCUCCCUCAACUCCAAGAGGUCCAGAGGCGCCAGAUCACCGGGGCCCAAAACCUCCACCUGCUCCUCUGAUGCUGGUCCUGACAGAGACCCAGAAACUGUGAAUGCCAGAGGACAUUGUGAUGACAGCUUUAAAGUGCUGAAACAAAAAUCUCCAACUUAGAAUUCUGCAUUUCUCAAGAACAGCCUUCAAAAGAUGAAGAUGAAAGAUGUGUUCAGACGAACAAAAACUGAGGGAGUUCAUCAGCUGCGCACCAGCACUGUGAGAAGCACUAGGGGAGGCUCUUCAGACUGGAGGAAAAUUAUCCCAGCUAGAAGCACAGAACCACAGGAAGAAAUGAAGGUAUGAAGGCCUUCUUGAAGAUCCUCUGUAGGGGAGGUCUUGUGGCUACAAACUCCCUUAGCUUUGGCUUAUCUGGGAAAGUUGUUAUUUCUCCAUCAUAUCUGAAGUCUAUUUUCACUGAAUAGAGUAUUCUUGGCUGAAAGAUUUUGUCCUUCAAAGAUUUGAAUAUGUCAUUCCAGUCUUUCCUAGCCUGUAAGUUUUCUGCAGAGAAAUCUGGUGAAAGUCUGAUAGAGGUUUCUUUGUAGGUUAUGUUCUUCUGCCUUGCUGCCCUUAGUAUUUUUUCUUUGUCAUUGACUUUUGCCAGUUUCACUACUAUAUGCCUUGCAGUAGGUCUUUUUACACUGGCAUAUUUAGAAGAUCUGAUAGGCUCUUUCAUGUGGAUUUCCAUCUCCUUCCCCAGGUUUGGGAAGUUCUCUGCUAUUAUUACUUUGAACAAGCUUUCUGUUCCAUUCUCCUUCUUUUCUCUCUCUUGAAUAUCUAUAAUUCUUAUGUUGCAUUUCCUAAUUGAGUUGGAUAUUUCUCAGAGAUUUUCUUCAUUUCUUUUUAGUCUUAGUUCUCUCUACUCCUCUGUCUGGAGCAUUUCAAUAUGUCUAUCCUUGAUUAUGCUGAUUCACUCCACUAUGAUGUUGCUCAAACAUUCAGAGAAUCCAAAUUUUGUUUUAUCUCAUCGAUUGUGUCUUUCAUCUCUAAUAUUUCUGAUUGGUUCUUCUUUAUAGUUUCAAUCUCUUUUGUGAAGUAGCUCCUGAACUCGUUGAAUUGUUUCUCUACAUUUUUUUGUAACUCAUUGAGUUUUUUGAUGAUAGCUAUUUUGAAGUCUCUGUCAUUUAGAUUACAUAUUUCUGUGUCUUCAGGACUGAUUUCUGGGUACUUGUCAUUUUCUCUCUGGUCUGGAGAUGUAAUAUAAUUUUUGAUUCUGCUAGAGGGCGUGGCAUUGUUCUUUCACAUCAUGGUAUUAUUUGGUCACACUUACUGCUUACCACUGGGUGGGGGUCAAGAACUGCAUUUUCUGAGCCCUCUGACUUCUGCCAGGAUCCCAGGUGCUGGAGCUGGUGCUAGGUGGGGAGGGGGAGGGGUGCUUUCUUCAUUGUUCUCUUGGGGUUUUCUCACUCUGCCCUCGAUAUCUGCUCUCCUGGGGUAUUGGCUUGAUGAAGUCACCCCUGUGAUAGCUUUCACCUGGGUAGGGAGCUUUCCCCUAGGCUGCAAAGGACCUUGGGGAACUUUGAUGUUCCUGCAAAUGGGCAUCCCCUCCCCUUUUCCUUCCCUCUUGGAGACUGCACAGUCCCAGAUCACAGUCUUUUGGGGAGGGAGCGAAGUUUUCUCUUACCCCAUUCCACCUCCUCCAAGGGGGACUCCAGCCUCUCCACCCUCCCAUGUAUGAUUGUGUUGGUCUUUUGUGUUGUGUGGAUGUCCUCUGCUGGAGGAUAAAUGUCUUUUUCACUGUGUCAUGGAGGGAAGAGAUCACUGGGAGAGCUCACUUAACCAUGAUGCUGAUGUCACUCUCUGGGUAAAAUUUUUAAAGUAAUGUUCUGUAAAGUCUGUAACACAUAUAGAAGUAACUGUGUAUGAAUACAACCCAAAAAAUCUAAUGGUACUGCCUAAAUAUUUUUCAUUUGUCUUAUUAAUAAAUGUUAAUACAAAUUUGGGAAGAUUUUAUUAUUUCAAAUAACUGAAAGUAUUUAAUAAUGUUAAUUUCAUAUUUUCUUCAUUGUUG